GACGAACGCUGGCGGCGUGCUUAACACAUGCAAGUCGAACGGAAAGGCCCUGCUUUUGUGGGGUGCUCGAGUGGCGAACGCGUGAGUAACACGUGAGUAACCUGCCCUUGACUUUGGGAUAACUUCAGGAAACUGGGGCUAAUACCGGAUAGGAGCUCCUGCUGCAUGGUGGGGGUUGGAAAGUUUCGGCGGGUGGGGAUGGACGCGCGGCUGAUCAGCUUGCUGGUUGGGUAGUGGCUUACCAAGGCUUUGACGGGUCGGCGGCAUGAGAGGGUGGACGGCGACAUUGGGACUGAGAUACGGCCCAGACUGCUACGGGAGGCAGCAGUGGGGAAUCUGGCACAAUGGGAGGGAGCCUGAUGCAGAAACGCUGCGUGCGGGAUGACCGCCUUCGGGUUGUAAACCGCUUUCGCCUGUGACGAAGCGUGAGUGACGGUAAUGGGUAAAGAAGCACCGGCUAACUACGUG
rnacentral:rRNA from 1 species